CAGUAGCCGCGGUAAUACGGAGGAUCCGAGCGUUAUCCGGAAUUAUUGGGUUUAAAGGGUGCGUAGGCGGAUAGAUAAGUCAGUGGUGAAAGACGGUGGCUCAACCAUCGCAGUGCCGUUGAUACUGUUUAUCUUGAAUAUGGAUGAGGUAGGCGGAAUGUGGCAAGUAGCGGUGAAAUGCAUAGAUAUGCCACAGAACACCGAUUGCGAAGGCAGCUUACCAAGGCAGAAUUGACGCUGAGGCACGAAAGCGUGGGGAUCGAACAGGAUUAGAUACCCGUGUAGUCCCUGUCUCUUAUAC
rnacentral:rRNA from 1 species